UUACCCGGUCGCGAUGAAAUUAUCAAAUUUUACGCACUUUUUGAAGCCAGGAGAAUACUAACAUCAAAUAAAUUGGUCAAUGCACUAUUUACGAACAGAAAAUGAACAUAAGAUAAGAAAAAAAUGAAUAAAAUCUAAAGACCACGAAAGGAAUACUACAUGUCGGCCACGAGGUUCAGGUGUGCAAUCGGGUGUAACGAAAUCGAAGGGUUUAUAUACCAGGUAUCUGUGUGACGGUGCCUAUUUACGAGCGGUGUUCGGCUUUAAGUAUUUGUAAAUACCCAUAUUGAACCUCAGUUCACUGGGCCUUAAACCCGCCAGUCCGUGCAGUAACAGUUUGGACGCGGCAGUCCAGAGGGAAGGACGUACUUAUACUUCUCUCGUGCAUACCAUCCAGUCACUAUGCAUAUUGUUAAUAUAAAUAGCUGUGUGCAAACUCUGGAGUGAACCUGGUACUGGCUUUUUCUGAGGUCCCUUUUUCCAGCCAUUGUGUAAACCACUUUCAUCGAUGGUUGCCGAAUAUUGGUGAAGUCUUGUGUAGACUAAGUGGCCAGUAGAGAACAUUGUCCAGUGGAGGACCUUACCAGUCUAUUCUUGUUUAGACCAAGUGGCAAUAGACUACAGUGAAGGACCUUACCAGUUCCCAUACUAGGACAAUUACUUUCAAUAUGUGUCGAUUCAAACUAUACUAAAUAUGUAAAAGCAAUGUAAAAAUAUUGUCUUAUUCUUUGUCUUACAGUAAAUAUGAAUUUUAAUUAAU